rnacentral:rRNA from 1 species
AGAGUUUGAUCAUGGCUCAGGACGAACGCUGGCGGCGUGCCUAACACAUGCAAGUCGAGCGGAGACAUUUGGAAAGCUUGCUUUUUGGAUGUUUCAGCGGCGGACGGGUGAGUAACGCGUGAGCAACCUGCCUUUAACAGGGGGAUAACGCAUCGAAAGAUGUGCUAAUACCGCAUAAGACCACAACGCUACAUGGCGAAGGGGUCAAAGGAGCAAUCCGGUUAAAGAUGGGCUCGCGUCCGAUUAGCUAGUUGGUGAGAUAAUAGCCCACCAAGGCGACGAUCAGUAGCCGGUCUGAGAGGAUGAACGGCCACAUUGGGACUGAGACACGGCCCAGACUCCUACGGGAGGCAGCAGUGGGGAAUCUUCCGCAAUGGGCGAAAGCCUGACGGAGCAACGCCGCGUGAGUGAAGAAGGUCUUCGGAUCGUAAAGCUCUGUCGAAGGGGACGAACGUGGGUUCUAUCAACAACGGAACCUAAUGACGGUACCUUUCAAGAAAGCCACGGCUAACUACGUGCCAGCAGCCGCGGUAAUACGUAGGUGGCAAGCGUUGUCCGGAAUUAUUGGGCGUAAAGCGCAUGUAGGCGGUAAUUUAAGUCUGUCGUGAAACUGCGGGGCUCAGCCCCGUAUGGCGAUGGAAACUGGGUUACUUGAGUGCAGGAGAGGAAAGGGGAACUCCCAGUGUAGCGGUGAAAUGCGUAGAUAUUGGGAAGAACACCGGUGGCGAAGGCGCCUUUCUGGACUGUGUCUGACGCUGAGAUGCGAAAGCCAGGGUAGCGAACGGGAUUAGAUACCCCGGUAGUCCUGGCCGUAAACGAUGGGUACUAGGUGUGGGAGGUAUCGACCCCUUCCGUGCCGGAGUUAACGCAAUAAGUACCCCGCCUGGGGAGUACGGCCGCAAGGCUUAAACUCAAAGGAAUUGACGGGGGCCCGCACAAGCGGUGGAGUAUGUGGUUUAAUUCGAAGCAACGCGAAGAACCUUACCAGGUCUUGACAUCCAACUAACGAAGUAGAGAUACAUUAGGUGCCCUUCGGGGAAAGUUGAGACAGGUGGUGCAUGGUUGUCGUCAGCUCGUGUCGUGAGAUGUUGGGUUAAGUCCCGCAACGAGCGCAACCCUUGCUAUUAGUUGCUACGCAAGAGCACUCUAAUAGGACUGCCGUUGACAAAACGGAGGAAGGUGGGGACGACGUCAAAUCAUCAUGCCCCUUACGACCUGGGCUACACACGUGCUACAAUGGGUACAACAAAGAGAAGCAAAACCGUAAGGCGGAGCAAAACUCAAAAAGUACUCUCAGUUCGGAUUGUGGGCUGCAACCCGCCCACAUGAAGUUGGAGUUGCUAGUAAUCGCGGAUCAGCAUGCCGCGGUGAAUACGUUCCCGGGUCUUGUACACACCGCCCGUCACACCAUGGGAGUUGGGAGCGCCCGAAGCCAGUGAGCUAACCGCAAGGAGGCAGCUGUCGAAGGUGAGACCAAUGACUGGGGUGAAGUCGUAACAAGGUAGCCGUAUCGGAAGGUGCGGCUGGAUCACCUCCUU